rnacentral:lncRNA from 1 species
GGAUUCGGGAGCAGGCAGAGACUCACUCACAUAGUUCCUCGGUGGUUGGCGGCGGAAUCCCAAACUACUUUCAUGUUUUGAAUAAGAAGAAGGUGAUUUUCAUGCAUUAUAAAACUGUAUUUGAAUGGUAAGUGAUGUUUUAUUAUUUUUAAAUAGCUGACAUUAUAAAUGGAUAUAAGGCCCAUGUUUGCAGGGCAUUUUGACAGAAUUGAUAUAAGUUGUUACACUCAAUGAAGAUCUCUCCAUACAGGUAAGAUUAUGAUCUAGACAAGUCUGCACUGGAAAGAAGCUAAGUGUCCAGCUCCUCAUCUUCCACUUGGCAGUGCCACUGGCUUAAAGUACUGGUUACCUGUGGAAACAGAGGAAUCUCAUCAGCUACUUAUUUUCCUCCCAUUUGUAUGGUGACUGCCCAUUUCCUCCACAGAGCCUUCCUUAACUGACUGCUUCCACCAGUGACACAAAGAUAUAUCUGCAGUCGCAUCUUAGUUUUCCAGUGAAAUUACAUUAGUGUCCACAUCCUAUGGGUACAGUUUCAAGUGAGCAGAGGUGAACCCUUAUAAGGAAUAGGAAGAGAUGGCUGACUCUCUUGGGUCGUGGUGAAAGCACUCUACAGCAGGAUGACCAGAGCAGUUAUUUCCUAUUAUUUGUGUACAGUUCUGAGCCAGUCUCAUUGAGAUGACAAUCAGGACUCCAUCAUUGGUCAGGAGAAGCCACAACACUUGUAUCUGCUCUAAGGUGAACUGGCACAUACCUGAAACGUGGACAACAGGUCUCAUUUAAAUUGAGAAAAUACUUGGUUUCUGAAGGUCUGAUGGUGUUUGGAUUGUUUCUAGUCUGUCCUGAGGGAAACGGUCUUCAGGCAAGAUGUGUGAACUGGUGACUUGUGAUCACCC